rnacentral:rRNA from 1 species
UACGUAGGGUGCAAGCGUUAUCCGGAAUUAUUGGGCGUAAAGAGCUCGUAGGCGGUUUGUCGCGUCUGCUGUGAAAACUGGGGGCUCAACCCCCAGCCUGCAGUGGGUACGGGCAGACUAGAGUGCGGUAGGGGAGAUUGGAAUUCCUGGUGUAGCGGUGGAAUGCGCAGAUAUCGGGAGGAACACCGGUGGCGAAGGCGGUUCUCUGGGCCUUACCUGACGCUGAGGAGCGAAAGCGUGGGGAGCGAACAGG